CUCCUACUUCCUCCGUUCGGAAUUACUUGUCGCAGAAAUGGAUGUAUCUAGACGUAUUUUAGUUCUAGAUACAUCCAUUUCCGAGACAAGUAAUUCCGAACAGAGGGAGUACAUC
rnacentral:pre_miRNA from 1 species